AGCCAUUAUUCAGCCAAAGCCGACGGCACAGGCAUCGCCCAAUCCCCCCUAUUCCGCUCCUCAUCCCUCUUCUACACCAGCGCCGCCGCUUCCUACUCCACAGCAAUCUGCCGCCACCGUCGCAGCCGACAAAUCAACAACUGUUGAGACAAAGUCGAGCCACCACCCAAGUCCCUCUUCUCUCACUAUUCCUCCCUCUUCCAAAUCGCCGCCACCGCCACUGCACUUAGCAGUCGACACUGGUACAAUCUGCCAUCCAUUCUGCCGUUCACCAAAUUUGUAGAGGGUAAGUACUGAAACUCGAUUUGACUUUUAUUUUUUUGGGUUUGUAUAUGACGUAACUUAUUUUGAAGAAAUCUAGGCUAUAUUUUUACUGUAAAAUAUGUGAAAUAAAAGUUUUGAGAAUUGAAAUUGGAAUAAAUAGCUAUUUGAUUGAGGUGGAGUUGGAAUUAACUGGGAUGUGUUUGUUUUGAGGUGUGUGCCUUUAUGUUUAAAUAUGCAUUUUAGUAGGAAUUUUGUUUUGUUGUGUUUGUGUCUGUAUGUUUUAAUAUGUUUAAGAGUAAAAAGCAGUUUACCCCCUAAACAAAUGUCCGUUUUGCACUUUGCCCCCCAAACAAAAAAAAUUUGCACGUUCUUACCUAAACUCCAGUUUUUGUUGCACGGUACCUCAAAAUUGGAAUAUUCAGGCCAUUUUAACCGGAAUCUUACACACGUGCUAUUCACGUGAGUUUUAAAGGGGCAAAAUAGUCUAUUCUCUUACAUUCUUCAUAAAUAAAAAAAAAAAAAAACAAAAAUUACAGUAUUAUAAUACCUAUUGCAAUCAAAGCAGCAACAGCAAACAUCUCAGCAAUCGCCAGGGGCAAAUUGGAGAGAAUCGACAACACUUUUCUAGGCAAACCCUUCAGCCUCCACGAAUCGACCUUCGGCGGCGGAAUUUUCGGAUCUCCACCACUUCCGCCGCCGGAAACCGCCGGAGCUCCGCCAGGAUCAGGUGCUUCAAUUUUAGUUGCCGUGCUCUUGUUCUUCUUCUUGCCCUUGUUAAUUCUACUCUCAUUGUCAGAGGUUUUGAGCUGCGCAAAAACGGCGGUGUUGGUGGUGAAAGAGAGAGUGAGGGUUCUGCCAUUUCCCGGUUUCUGCAUGAAGUGUAGAGACAGUAAUAAUUGUUGGGGAAGGGUAAUUGGGAUCCAAUAUACCAAAUAAUUGGUAUAUUGCCCAUUCCUUGUAAAGAAGCGGGCGGCGGCGGUGGAGGGUAGGGUGGAGAGUGUGAAGAGGAGUAGAGUUGUGAAGAGGAGGAGCAAGCAGAUGGAGCUUGUGGAUUGGGCUUUGUUUAGGAGGUGGUGGUUCGAAUUGUUGCGCCUGAGGGUGAUGAAUUUGGGAAAAGAUUGAAAUUGUUGAAUUAUCUGUUGGUGGUUGUGGCGGCGGCGGUGGUGAUGGCGGCGGCGGUGGUGGUUUCUUGUUCUUGAUUUUGGUGGUGUUCGUCGGGGAAGAAAACUAAGAGGAAACCCCCAAUUGCAGAUUUUCCUAAUUUUGUUUUUAUUUUUUUUGUUAUUUUUUUUAAUUUAUGAAGAAGGUAAGUGAAUAGACUAUUUUGCCCCUUUAAAACUCACGUGAAAAGCACGUGAGUAAGAAUCCGGUCAAAAUGGCCUGAAUAUUCCAAUUUUGAGGCACCGUGCAACAAAAAGCGUAGUUUAGGUAAGAACGUGCAAAUUUUUUUUGUUUGGGGGGCAAAGUGCAAAACGGGCAUUUGUUUAGGGGGUAAACUGCUUUUUACUCUAUGUUUAAAUAUGCAUUUGUCCAUUUUAAAUAUGCAUUUUAGUGGGAAGUUCAUAUGGUAGAAUUCUUCCAGAAACAAAAAGACAAGAGUCACUCAGAAACAAAAUCCAAAUACACAAAAUAAUUAGUCAUUUUUUUAGCAAAAUUGCUAACUAGCAGUUAAGAAUAAUGAAAGGUUAUAAUUGUGCUUAUGCGGUAUUUUGAACUUAAUUAUUCCAAGAGAGACGAAUGGGGUUUUUUAACUCUCUCAUUACCAUCUAUGUUCUUCAGUUGCAUAUAUUUUCUAAAUAAAAAUGUCGAAAGAUAGGAGUUGAGUUUUGCUAGAUGAUCAUCGGAUGGAAGAAUUUCAAAAUGGUUUAGAAUUUCUAGAAUUUUCUUUCGAUAGAGCGGCCAUUGAUGAUAAAAUAAGGUGUCUAUGUAGAGCUUCAAGUGUCGAAAAGUCGGGGGCCAUGAAUUCGUUCAUGGGCAUCUAUGAAUGAGUCGGGGAGUGAUGGGAAGGUACAAAUGUAUUUUUAAUUAAUUUAUAUCAUUAUAUGAUUUAUGCAUUGCAUCAAAAUAUAGUAACUUAUUUGCUACUAUAUCGCGAAGCACGAAUAUCGAUUGCAAUCGACCAUUAUUGGGGUCGAACUAGUAUCAUUGGUAGGUCUCAUAAACAUAAAAAUGUAAGUGAUCUCGUAUAUGUGCGAUUGUAUAUAUUUUAAGAGUUAUUAUAUGGGUCUAAUUACUUUUAUAUAAUGCUACUACAGAUUCAAAAAUUUGGCAAAGUUCCUUCGGUUGCAGUUAAAUCUAGAAAAUGCUAUAUGAGCAUCGGUGCCUUGAAGGAAUUGGAGCCUUCCACUGAACUACGUGC
rnacentral:lncRNA from 1 species